rnacentral:rRNA from 1 species
CUAUACAUGCAAGUCGAGCGGACAGAAGGGAGCUUGCUCCCGGAUGUUAGCGGCGGACGGGUGAGUAACACGUGGGUAACCUGCCUGUAAGACUGGGAUAACUCCGGGAAACCGGAGCUAAUACCGGAUAGUUCCUUGAACCGCAUGGUUCAAGGAUGAAAGACGGUUUCGGCUGUCACUUACAGAUGGACCCGCGGCGCAUUAGCUAGUUGGUGGGGUAAUGGCUCACCAAGGCGACGAUGCGUAGCCGACCUGAGAGGGUGAUCGGCCACACUGGGACUGAGACACGGCCCAGACUCCUACGGGAGGCAGCAGUAGGGAAUCUUCCGCAAUGGACGAAAGUCUGACGGAGCAACGCCGCGUGAGUGAUGAAGGUUUUCGGAUCGUAAAGCUCUGUUGUUAGGGAAGAACAAGUGCGAGAGUAACUGCUCGCACCUUGACGGUACCUAACCAGAAAGCCACGGCUAACUACGUGCCAGCAGCCGCGGUAAUACGUAGGUGGCAAGCGUUGUCCGGAAUUAUUGGGCGUAAAGGGCUCGCAGGCGGUUUCUUAAGUCUGAUGUGAAAGCCCCCGGCUCAACCGGGGAGGGUCAUUGGAAACUGGGAAACUUGAGUGCAGAAGAGGAGAGUGGAAUUCCACGUGUAGCGGUGAAAUGCGUAGAGAUGUGGAGGAACACCAGUGGCGAAGGCGACUCUCUGGUCUGUAACUGACGCUGAGGAGCGAAAGCGUGGGGAGCGAACAGGAUUAGAUACCCUGGUAGUCCACGCCGUAAACGAUGAGUGCUAAGUGUUAGGGGGUUUCCGCCCCUUAGUGCUGCAGCUAACGCAUUAAGCACUCCGCCUGGGGAGUACGGUCGCAAGACUGAAACUCAAAGGAAUUGACGGGGGCCCGCACAAGCGGUGGAGCAUGUGGUUUAAUUCGAAGCAACGCGAAGAACCUUACCAGGUCUUGACAUCCUCUGACAACCCUAGAGAUAGGGCUUUCCCUUCGGGGACAGAGUGACAGGUGGUGCAUGGUUGUCGUCAGCUCGUGUCGUGAGAUGUUGGGUUAAGUCCCGCAACGAGCGCAACCCUUGAUCUUAGUUGCCAGCAUUCAGUUGGGCACUCUAAGGUGACUGCCGGUGACAAACCGGAGGAAGGUGGGGAUGACGUCAAAUCAUCAUGCCCCUUAUGACCUGGGCUACACACGUGCUACAAUGGACAGAACAAAGGGCUGCAAGACCGCAAGGUUUAGCCAAUCCCAUAAAUCUGUUCUCAGUUCGGAUCGCAGUCUGCAACUCGACUGCGUGAAGCUGGAAUCGCUAGUAAUCGCGGAUCAGC